rnacentral:rRNA from 1 species
AAAGCGUGCGCAGGCGGUUAUGUAAGACAGAUGUGAAAUCCCCGGGCUCAACCUGGGAACUGCAUUUGUGACUGCAUGGCUAGAGUACGGUAGAGGGGGAUGGAAUUCCGCGUGUAGCAGUGAAAUGCGUAGAUAUGCGGAGGAACACCGAUGGCGAAGGCAAUCCCCUGGACCUGUACUGACGCUCAUGCACGAAAGCGUGGGGAGCAAACAGGAUUAGAUACCCGUGU